rnacentral:lncRNA from 1 species
UUUGCAAAUAAAUGGUUUUAUAAAUAUAAUUUACAGCAUGAUCUAAAUAAAAUUGUUGGGGUCAAAUACAUCUAUGCAACAUACAUUUAGGCGAGUCUUCAAAAAAUUAGUUCAUUUCACUAUUAAGGCAGCAACCAUUUGAUUUUCUAGGGGGGGGGGCUAUGGAUUUUUUUCCCCAGACAAACAUUUUUUUGGCGACAAUUUUUUUU